ACUGGACAUGGACAUGGACACAGGACUAUAAUCCCUCUUACUGAGAAGUUGAGGCUGGUGGAUCUUAGAAGCUCUGGAAUUCUGAUCUGUAGUGAAGGUCAAUUGGGUGUCUGUGCUAAGUCUAGCAACAAUGUGGCAUUUGCCUGGAGGCAGGAGGCCUGGUAGCUCUCUAAGGAAAGGCAGACUGGUGCAGGUUGGAAACAGAGCAGGUCAGAGUUUGCAUGCUGAACAACGGUGGGAUCACAUCCAUGAGUGGCUGCUACACUUCCAACCUGGGAGAGACAGAGAGACCCAGUUUCCU
rnacentral:SRP_RNA from 1 species